GGUCUCUGGUGAUGUCUUGUUUGGCUCUACAGUCGUGCUCAAGGGCAACGUGACCAUCGCAGCCAAGGCUGGAGUCAAGUUGGAGAUCCCAGAUGGAGCUGUGCUCGAGAACAAGGACAUCAACGGCCCGGAGGAUCUUUGAGUGACGCCCACCGCCAUCGCCAGUCACAUUCCCAGAAACCUUCCGGUCCUCCUUCGCUGAGUUAACCGUCCUGUAAUUUUUGUGUGCAUUCUGCUGGGGUGUUGUCCUGGGAUAGCCCCUUUACGUAAUAAUUGUAA